UUUUACCUCCUUCAGCAAUGAAAUCGACUAAUUCCCGUUGCAAUGGUGAGAUACAUCGUCUGGUAUAGUUAUGGCGACAUGAUGAAGCCUCUCUAAUGUAACCACAUUGUCGUUCAAUUUCAGCUUCAGUUCCUUGUAUUCCUGCCAGCAAAAAGGACAUAAAUUUCCAGUGAAUCGAUUUACAAACAAUUACUUUCAACGGAAAUCUCUAAUCAGUUAUUGAUAAUACAAUUUCCCGUUCAAAGAUUUGAUCGUGUUGAUAUAUUGUUCAAUAUUGAAUAACAAACCAGUUUGGGUUAUUAAUACACGUUCAUUUUUUGCAAUAAACUUGAACCAAGUAGUCUGCCUAACACUAACCUUGAGUCGAUUAAAUCUCAAUGGUUCGCAGUUAUGGACCAAUGAUCAAAUAAGCCUCAAAGAAGCUGUCGGCCUCAUCUGUUGGUACAUGUAACAAAGUAACUACUAAAGAUGGAAACAACAACCAUUGCGACUUCAAAGUCAUCACCAGUUUAUCCAAGUCUUACAAUUUAAAGUUAACUUCAGAUGACACUAACUAAACUUUUCUGGUGGAUUUUUUACAUGCGAAUUCAGUCAUUAUAAUGUCCAGAAAUUAACUUACCUUGAGAAUUCUGGGUGAAAACCAAUAAAGUUGCUGUACAAAGAUCGAGCUCUCUCAUGUGACAUGAAGCAGUUUGGCCAUUGAUUGUCUGGGAACCUGAAAUGGUUAAUAAAUGGCAUUAGCUUAUCAAUUGGCCUUUACACAAUGAUCCUGAUGAAUGGAAAUCCAUAAGUUGAAAGCAGCAUUGACGGAAACAAAAAGACGGACAAGAAAUUGGAUUUAAACUCACCAAAUGAAACGAUUAAAAUAGCAGCAAUUAAUAGGUAUUGCAUUGUUGUAUUUAGUGUUGAUCAAAUAGAUAAAAUAAUUGUAAAAAAUGGUAUUUUAGUUUGAACUAUUUUAGACGUUUUUAACGUUCGAUGAGAUCAAUUGAUGUAUAUUGACUGACCCAAACCUUGAGACGAUUUUAAAGUUAUCUUCACAGUGAUUCAAAGUGAAAGUGAAAGAUGUAAAAUU